GCUAGACUUUGAGCCACACAUUUACUUUUUACUACUUAUAAGCAUUGAGUGUGGUCAAGCUGUGUAGACCCUUAGGAGCUUGUCAUGUGGUUAAAUCAAGAUUUACUUGCACGUUCACUCACACAUGCUGCUUCUACUCCGGGAGUACGCAUCCACAUAUAUCCACCCAUUUCCAUCUCUAGAACCACCCAAAAAUAUUCUACUCCUAAUCCGGGAGAGAAUAGCCAAAAAUAUUUCUAUUUUUCCCCUGUGAAAUAAAUGAUCAAGUUAUCUUGGUUACUACCACUUGCUAUAUUAUUUCAGGAAAUGAGUGCUCUAAAAAAAGAAGAAAUACGAGGAAAUAAAAAGGGGCAAGUGCCCGAAACCUCAAAAGAAAAGAAAAAGUGAGAUGAGAGGUAAAAAUGGACAAGUGUCCGACAGUAGAAUUAAGGGUACAAAAUACCCACCUGAGAGAAAAAGAAAAGAUAGAGCAUCUCAUUCUCAAGAGUUUCCAAGAGCAAGAAAGGUAUGUAUCCCCUCAAAAGAGCCAAAGUAGAAUUAGACUUUCACCAUUGUUAUCACAUCAUCACCAUACACCAUUCAUUCGCCACACAUGCACAUCUUGAUUUGACUUAUUGACUUGUUACUUUGGAUCCAGGGUUUGACUAUACAAUAGAUGUCUUGUGAGUAUGUAUAUUUUAUCUCCCACCUAUGAGCUCCACAUAUUAAAGCCUUAUUAGAGUAGGGUGAGAGAGAAGGCAAUGUCACUAUGCCUUAUACUACAAAUACUACAUACUUUGAGAAGAGGCGUAUACCAUCACUGCCUUGGUAAGGAUCCAGAAAUACCACAAAUGAGAGAUCUGAGAGAAUCAUACAAGGAAUCUUUGAGUUUUAUUUGAAAAUCUGCAAAAACUCCAGAGCUAUAGCUGAUCAAGAAUAAGAGACAUGACACUUGAUUAGACCGUUCUAUCUUUUAACUACUCAAGACAGAAGUGACGGUUGCAAGUCCCCUGGUGAAAGGUAAAAUGAAUAAGUUUUAAGUCUUGACAGUUUACUCUUACUUAGAGAUGAGAUCUUAUUUAAAAGCAUGUGUACCAUCAACUUUCAAAGGCAUUACAACAACUUUUGAUCCAUCGCUGAGAUUAUCCUUGCUCAGGGACGAGCAAGAGGUAAGCUUGGGGGAGUUUGUCGACGGUCCUUAAGUAUCAAAUUUAAUUAACAAAUAAACAAAGAAAAAGAUCCAAAUGAAAUCAACAUCCAGACUUAGGGUUUUAUCUGACAGAAUUCCACGAGUUUUGGUAUUUGUCUAUUUCUGCAGAGGGGUAUCAGGAAAUACGGAAGAAAGACCCACACGUCAGGAUUACAUAGAGAUAUUAAUGUACCACGCAAUUAUCUUACAUCUAGAAGACUCCUGAAGCCACAGGAACAAAGCGGAGGCGGAACGGGGCCUGGCCCAGGGCACCCGCCCCCUGCUGGAGUCCAAUCAGGACUCUCUUUCGGGAUCAAGCUCCACCGACCUAAAGGAUCAAAGAUAACCGCUCAAUCAAUGUCGGUUUGAUCCAACAGCCCAUAUUCACUUGGAAGGACUAUAAAACCAGACCCCCUGCCCCUGGAGGAGGGGACCUCUCAACCCUAAUUCAUUAUUCAUCAAGGGAGAAGAAGCCACUGAUCAAGCCCUAGAGCCACCACAUCAAUUAGACAUCUAGAUUAGCAUAGCUACAUAGGAUUAGAACUAGAAGGAGUCAAUCUUUGAUUGGUUUCCGGAUCUGUCAAGAGGAUUCUUGGUAAUUCUCUAUUGUUCUUCAAUUGUUCAUCUUUGUUCUUCAAUAUUAUGAAUAUGACUUUGUUGUACUUCAAUAUAUUGAUUAUGACUUUGCUCUACUUGUUUAUAUUCACAAUUAUAUUGUUCUUAGUUUAUCAUAGUUAUAUACUUGGCUUAGUUAGAUUGAAAUUAUAUACAUGUUUAGGAUCGUAUAGCGUUUUUCCAUCAAAUCCAUGGGUAAAUGAUAGAUAUUGUGUAGGCGUGGUGCUUAUACCGUAUUUAUCUGCAAUUGUACCCUAUAUGCCACAUCGUGGUGUAGUUCGUGGUAGUGACACCUCCAUUGAUUCUUAUAUAGUCCCCCUCUCGUGUAUUGGGCUGGCAGAGCAACAUUAUUACAGGGGAGUGAUUACGAUGUUUCUCAUAUUCCUUGCUAAUAUCACUAUGCAUGGGCGUAGUCCUGUCUCACAAUGAUUGCUAAGUAUAAUUGCACUAAACUAUGAUAUGCUAGACUAUAUAGUUAAGAAUAACUUAGGAAAUAUUCUUGUAGUUCGUUCUAAUUCCAUGCUAAUGACUUGCUAGAAUAUCUAAUUGAGGUACUUAUCAUAUUUAUUAUGUGGCUAAGUUAUGCUGAUCAGAUUAUCUUUGUCACUAUUCAUUACUUUAUAUAUCCUUUAUGUGACACUUAUCCCUGUAUGAAAGAGUUAGAUAAAUAUUCUCAAUUAUACAUGCAAUGAUAGAUACUCAAUCUUAUAUUCCAUUCUAUAAUCCACAUUGAGGAUUACUAAUCCCUUCCCAGUGGUAAAAAUAUAAAUAACGAUACCUGGAAUACUUCCCGGUUAAAAUGCGACAUCGGUAUUAAUUUGUGCGCUUGCAGAUCCCAUUUGUUAUUUAUCUAGAUGAGCAAUUGCAUAUUUGAAUACCGCGUUUCUCAUGUCAUGCUGGGGAUGACAACUUGGUUUAAGUGGCAUGAGGGAUAGGUUUGGCAUUUUUGGCGCCGUUAUCAGAAUUAGAAAACUAAGUCUAUUUUUGGUGAUGACGUUAAGAAUACCCAACAACUACUACAAGAUAGACUAGGACACUACAAUAGAAUAUUGCACUAAGGAAAAGUAAGUAUAUUAAGUACUCAAAGUCUUACAAGAGGAAAGGUAGAGAGGAAUACCAAACUCUCCAGAAGACGACUCCAGAGACUCCAAGCUUCGCUCGACUCAACUCUAACUCCCACACUAGACUAACACUAACACUUACAACUGGAAAGCUAGAGCUAACUUGAAAACACACACCACUAAGUGGGUGGAUGCAGAUUCUAUUUAUAGGGAGAGUAGAGGGUCUGCCACGUCAACGAUCCGUGUGCUUCCCACUUUUCCACACUACAAGAAAUCGGGGUAUUUAUGACAAAAUUCGUUGUGACGGUGCCUGGUUUUGUCAUAUAAUGUUCUAUUUUAUGACGGGAAAAAUUUGUGUCGUCACAACUAGAGGAGAGGCCAUAUAUUUGUGACGACCUGGUUCUUGUUGUCAAAUAAAGUCAUCAAAUAUUGUCACAAUUGUGUGGCCCCGUGAGACGGUUGAUGGUUCAGUUUUUGGUGACGCUGGGGCCUGUCUUUUUAUGACUGUUUAGCGUUGUGAUGUGUUUGUAAUUCAAUAAUUGACAGGCCAAACCCCUUGCUGGUGGACCCAAGCAUUGACCAGUUGUGAUAUAUUGUGAUGUGUGCACUGGCAUGAACCGUGGGCAUUUCAUGACAGAUAUUCACUAAUAAGAGAAUAAUUGCAUAUGGCAACAAAUUUCAUAACAUCUAUUCUUGAUACGCAAUUUAAUCACAACAAAUGUGCAAAUAUUUGAGAUUAGAUUAUAUAAUAUAUAAACAAAGUGCAGUUGAAGCAAGAUCUUUAAAGGGUACCACACAUAGUUUCAUCAACACAUCCCACAUCAAUAUAAUAUAUAUAUAUAUAUAUAUAUGCAUAGUGCAGUUCAAGCCAUAACAUUUAAGGGUACCAUACCACAUAUGGUUUCAUCCUAGAUUAACUAUGCCCACUUGGGAGGCUAACAAAAGUCCAUCAGUGGCAUACCACUUGGGCUAGCUAGCAAGGCCAUCAUCACUUAGUCGGUCACAUCAUUAGUUCACAAAAGUCUUCAGUGCCACAUCUAGGUAACAUCCAUCACUUUUUUGCUUAUUUUUCUAUGUUUCUUUUCCUCCCGUUGGUGAAAACCCACUCAUCCCCACUCCCCACUCCUCACUCCCUGCUCCCCUUCACUCAUCCCCACUUCUCCAGCUCCUCCAGCUGCGACCGGCGGUGGCGGGCGGGCGGUGGUGAGCGGGCGUGCGGCGGGAUCUGGCGAGCGGCGUUGGUGACCGAGCGAGAUUUGUCAGGUCCCCCAGCUGUCGGCGCGCGCCCAGCCGGUGAACCCUAGUGCACAGACGGAGGCACCGCGGCGUCCGGGCGGCAGCUGAGGGCUCUCCGGUGACCAUCGUGACACUACAGCUAGUGGCGCCCUCAUCCCCUUCCCCGUCCCCCCUCUGUAGGUAGUGGCGCCCUCAUCCCCCUCCCCGUCCCCCCUCUGCUCAUCACCCCCUAAGCACUGAUGGAUGUUGAGGACCAUUUUUUGUUGCAAUUGAUCAAUUUUAUCAGAUAAUUGAUGUAGAUUGAAUGAUUAUUAGUAGCUCAUCACCCCCUAAGCACUGAUGGAUGUUGAGGCCAAUUUUGUUGUUGUUCAUGUUCUAGCUAUUCUAAGCUUAUUUCCAAUGGCAAUGAUAAAUUGUCCAUGCUUUUCAAGAGGAAAUGUUUCUCGCUGACCUAAUGAGCCCAUGUCUCUCAAUCAGGCCUCAUGUCUCAGGUGUCGUCAUGUACUGCUCGCACUCAGCGGACAUCACCACCUGACAUGUCCGGAACUGUCGAUCCGGAUGCGCCGAUUGAUGAAGUCUCGAAGUUGCCAUUGAUAAAGUGCCCUGAAUGUAAGGAUAGGAGGGUGUUUGCUGCCACUACCAUAAAAUCUGAGGUUAACCGUGGAAAAAGAUACUUCAAGUGUGCUAGGCAAAGCUAUGUGAGUGCUGUUGGCUAUGACAGUUAUUUUGGACCCCAAUUUUUAAUCUUCGUUGACCAAAUUUAAUUGAUUUGCAAUGUGGUGCAGGGGACAUGUUCUAGCUAUUGGUUUGAGGAAGAAUAUGUGCUCUAUCUAGAGGAUAAUGGAUAUAUACAAUCAGCUGCGAGGACGAUAGAAGUUGCCAAGGACGUAGGCAAGAUUGAAAGCUUCACCGAAAGCCUCAACAAGCUGAAUGAAGUGGUAGUGAAGAACAAGCAUGGCAUGGCAAGCUGCAUUUGUCUAGUCUGUGGAUGUGUGAAUGUAACACUGUUUCUACUGUUGGCCAUUUUAUUGGUUGUAGCUUUAGUGUUCAAGUAGGCAAGGCUAAUGAAGGUGUAUGUUGAAGAGAAUGAUGUACUGGAACCUAUUAUGUUAGAUUUGGCUAUAAUGUAGUUGUACUGCUGAAGAAGAACAUGCAUGUUGUAUUGUUCCCUGUUGUGUCUGAUGGAUUUGGUAUGAAAUAUUGGCCUCUGUGCUCUGGGAAAUCUCUUGUGUGCUUGAAUAUAUAACAUGUGCAUUUGUCAUGUAUGUGACCUGUCUUGGGUGAAAUUUUGAUAGUGUAUAUGCAAGCAGGUUAUAGCACAUAUAUAUAUAAAAAUAUAUAUAUGAUGACAAAAUGUGCACUUUCCAUGACAACCUUUUAUGGUCAUAAAAACAUUUUUAUAAACAAUAUGAGAUUCAUUUAGGCAUUUCAUGACAGUGCAAUGGUCCUAAAACUUCCACCAUGAAUUUUGGGGAACAAUAUAGCUUAAAUGUAACUUCCAUCAUAAAUCGAGCAUCCAAUGAAAUAGAACCAUUGUAUAUAUUGAAAAUAGAAUUCAAAUACAAUCUUAUAAUUUUAGAAGCAAAUGUAGUAGCAUAAUUCAAAUACAUCAAAAUAACCAUCCAGAAAUGUAAAGUUCAGUCAUCAUCACUAUCUUCUCCUGAAGUAUUCCCUUCAUCUGGAGUAUGGUACUCAAGGUAGGUUUCAUCUUCAUCAUCAUUGUCUACUUGUUCACCUUGAGUUGUAUGUUCUUGUCAACGGAUGUCCUCAACAAGGUGUCUACUAAUAGGACUGCCUGGUUCAUUAUCAAUGUGCAACAUAUCCAUAUCAGGAUCAAUGUCUCCCACUGCACCAUCUCUUGACAAAAUAUUUUCCUCUUGGUAUGCCUCCUGACAUCUCAUCUGUACUUGUUCUUUUAUUGGCUGGUUUGUGUUGGAUUCUUCAACAUCAAAUAUAUGUCGGUGGCCAAAUUCUUGUAGCACUCGCCAGGAUGGACCAAACUUUGUAUCUUCCAAGAAAAAUACUUGUGAAGCUUCUGUAGCUAGAAUGAAAGGAUCAUUUUUGUACCAUCGGCCUUGGAUGUUAAUGCUCUUGAAGUAACCAUCAUCUUUCAUCUGGCAUGUCCUUCCCUCAAGAUUGUACCAUUCACACCUUAAUAAGAUAACAGUUCUUUGUCCAUUGUUGUUCUUACUAUAAGUCAACUCAAUAAUGUCUGUGAUUGUCCCACAGAAGUCAAUUGUGUUAUCACUGUGAGUACCUGCUGUUUGUAUGGUGGAGUUUUGUGUCUUUCUGUUUUGAUCACGAGCCAUAGUGUGAUAUCAUACCCCGUUGAAUAUACAAGCUGUGUAUGAACGCACACGCUUAUCCGGCCGACAUGCGAGUGAGUAUAGGUCCUUAUCUACUUUUGUUGACCCUUCGUAUUUCAAUCUGGUAAUCUGCAGGUUCAAACCAUACCAAAUUAGUGGCUCUCAUAAUGAUGUAAGUAAUAAAUUUGCAAGUCAUUGUUGUACAAGGUGCACACACAUGAUCCUCAAACCAUGCAGGGAAGUGUGUUGACAUCAUUUGCUCAACAUUGUUGACCCCUUGAUGUUGUAAUUGUUCCCUAUACAUGCUACAAAGGAAGAAGUUAAUUGGUUUUUUGUGACACUAGCAUUGGAUAAAGAUGGCUGUAAUGAGACAACAAUUACUCACUCUUUGUAUUCGUCAACCUCCUCACAGUUAUUUAAGACAAACCAAACCAUGGAGUCAUAGUCUUUAGCAUCAUAGUGAAAUUUUGAAGCACCCAAUAGAUUAAUACCAUGAUCAAAAAUAGAGUAACCCUGAGGUGAGAUGAUUUGUUCUGCAUCUAAGUUUCUUUCAGGCCUAGUGAACCUAGAAAUGAAGUCACUGAAAUAUGUUGAGCACUGGGUCAUGCACUCAUAGGCCGUGUAUGCCUCUGCAAUAGAUCCUUCAAGUCUUGCAUUAUUGCGGAUAAAACGCUUAAAGCUACCUAAUCUCCUAUCAAUAGGAUACAUCCAUCCAUACUGCACCGGUCCCCUAAGGGAUCAUCUGCAAAAGACUUGAAAGUCUCAUCAAACUCUUUCCAAGCUUUCCCAUCAGCAGGGUGUCUCAUUUCAUUCUCAACUUGUACCCUCUUUUCUGUAACACCCUAGGUGUUAAGCAUGCACUUAGUCUCACCAAAGCCAUGCAUAAGCAUUCCAUCAAGCAUAAGCAUCAUGAGCAUGACACUCUUGUCAAAUUAUGAUUUGAUGUGCUUCACUUCAUGAGUUUAAAUAUGUUAAAAAUAUGAUACUUGUUUCUAAAAUAGUGAAAUAUUCAAAUUAGGUUGCUUUAGGUGUAAGAAGAAUUAAGAAUAUUUUUGUGCAAUUUUUGGAGCUAUGGAAAUUGAGAAAUGGAAUUUAUACAAAAAUAUCCAAAAAGAAUUUAUUUAAAACCUAGAACUGAGUUUAACUUGUAAUUCAAAUUCUGUUUGGAAUUUGGUCUUGCUUGUUAAAGCAAAGUGGUAGAGUUUUUGUUUUGGAACAACUUUGUUUUUGGGAACAAGAGGUGAAAAUGAUUUUAAAUUGGUCCAAAUGAAUUUAGAAAGAAUUUGGAGAAAAGAAAUUUCAAAAAAAAAGAGAAAGGGGCAGGCGCUGCUGGGCCGACCCGCCUCCCUUCUGGCCCAGCUGGGCAGCGCGGCCCGCUCCCCCUCCCCUCUCUCCCGCGCGCGCGGCGCCCGCCUUGCUCCACCCGGCGCCGGCCACGUGGCGGUCGUACGCCGGCGUUGGACGCGCCGCGGCCGGCCUCCAACCCCCCCUGGUCGGGACGCCGGCGCAGGCUCCCAGGCCACUCCCUCCAUCCUGUCUCCCCCGCGCCCUCCUUCUCCUUCCUCCUCCGCUCGAACCGCGCCGCAGCAGCCGCUCCUCCGCGCGCCAUUGCCGGAGAGAGCUCCGCCGCUCGUCGCCGGCCACACCAGAGCAUCAAGCUCGACGCCGAGAGCACCAGGGCACUCGCCGUCGCUAGGGUAAGCUCGUGCGAACGUUCUACCGAGGUGAGAGUCCGUCGAGCACCAUGAAUCGCUCGCCGGAGUUACCCCGAGCUCGCCGGAGUACUCCGCCGUGGCGGAUCUAGUGUUUCCCUGCGUCUUUUCGCUCGUUCUCUGUUGCGCUAGGUCGGUAGGAAGGUGAGGAAGCUCGGAGAGGCGUUUGCGCACGCUCUACCGCGCCGGAGCAGCCUGGCCACGGCGAGCAGCGCCGCCGUGCCGCCAUGCAUGCUCGCCGGAGGUGUUCCGGCCGUCCUCUGGUCGAUCCAAGGGUACCGCUGGGUGCGUCUCGCUGCGGGGAGCACGUUGGUGCUCACCCCGUGGCCGGAGACCUCACCGCCGGCGAGAUCCGCUCGUCGGAGGUGAGCUCCCUCUCGGUUUCGCUGACUGGUGGGGUCGGGGACCCACUGUCAGUCGCAGGGGUACCGCGGUGGGUGUAGAUCUGGGUGAGCGUAGCGUUUUUCGUCGGUUUUCUUGAAAAAGUGUUUUCCAGAAAUUGAUUUAAACUUUGUAAAAUCUAUAUCUUGAGUUCUACAGCUCCAAAUUGAAUGAAAUAAAUUUUGGUGUGCUCUAUAUUUCCAGAUCUACAGUUUGAUGUAAUUGCAUGUCAUGUUGGAGCAACUUUUCGGUGUAAAUAUAUUUUAUCCAUGAUUUUGUUAAACUUGGAAAAUGCAUAGUAAAUGAAAUAUGGCUGAGAAAAAUGUGAAACUUGUUUGCUGGCUCUGCAUGUGUGUUUACUCACUAAGAAAAUAUUGUUACAUAUUAUUUGGUGUAUAAAUGAAUUUAUGGUAAUUUAAAUGCUUGCAUGGCAGUGCUUUAUGAUUUUUAAUAAUUAAAUGGGUCAUGCAAUAAAUCUGGAAAAUUUUGUGGGUAUUUCUUAUGAUAUUAGAUAAAUUCUAAAAAUAUGAAAUCUGUUGUUUGACACUUAUAUCACAGUAGGGUGAUUAUACUUGCCUUAUUCAUUAAUCUUGUGAUUUUUGUGGCUCAAAAUAAGUAACCAAAAAAUUAUGAAAAAUUUACAGUAGACUUUAUGAUUAGCUAGUAGUCUCCUGUAAUUUUUCUGGAAUUUAUUGAUGAACAGAAUUGCAUGUCAUUUUAAUGGGCUUAGAAAUGAAUAAAGAAAACUAUGAAUGGUUGUAUAUAUAGGUUGAAUGGACUAAGUUGGGUUUGGUGUAUCUUUGAAGCAUCAUGUAGGUUGCUGAUUUCAUUUGAAAAAUAAUUAUAGAAGAGAAUGUAAUAGAUGUUUGAUUCAAAUGUUUAUUCUUGGAUGAUGUUGACUACCUUGUAAUAAGCAUGACCAAGUGCAUUACCUAUGCAUCAUAACAUGACUCCUUUGGUACUCCCUCAUGUAAGCAUCCACUCGGGCAUCUCGCACUCCCCUCAUGAGCAUGUAUGCAUCAUACAGGCUCGCAGGAGAACGAGGUGGGAACCGAGGAACCCGAGGAGCUUCAGGAGCAGGAACCUCCGGAAGCACAGGAACCCGGAGAGGAAUUGCAGGAGUGUCCGGAUCACCGACCCAGCACGUUUGAGAAAGGCAAGCCCCGGAGCAUUCUAAGUCUCCCUAUUCUCGCUAACUUAUAUAAAGUGUUAUACCUGUUCUACUGUAUUGCAUAUUAAGUGAUAGGAGUUGCCUGAUACCGUUGCUGCAUAUGUACUCCUUGUUAUCCCUGCUCGUUUAUCUACCUUGUCCUAUGUAGACAGGCGCGGAGUCUAUGCUUAGCUUGCUUAGUCCGGUAGAAGUCGGGUGAUGUCCUGUCACCUGCGAGAUAUAGGUGGAUACCUGCUUGUUUAAGCAGUGGUUGCUUGGGGAAAGAAAUAACCAAGUGUGGAAUGUAAUUGGAGACCGGGCAGGGUCUUAUGGUGGGUUAACCAUGGUGCCCCUGCCUGUGUCGAUUAAGGACCAAUCGUUGACGGCCCUCUUGUCAUGUUGAACGCAUGCCCCACACUUAGCUGGAAGGAUAAGUCGUUCCGACCGCGAAGCCUGAACACUAUCCGGGCCGGGAAUCGAGCCGCCAUGCGCUGUAUUGGUGGUGGUUGAGGAGAACGACGAGGGCGCGGCGCGCAACCUUGGUAUACCUUGGAUACCUCGGUCGCCGGAACGGUCCUCGGGUACUGGCGGUGCCUGCCGAACCCGCGAAUUGGUCCUGGAUAGUGUAAUACGGUGAUCUGUAGCUCACUUGAUCAGUGAGUGUGGUUUGUGUGGGGAAUACCUCGCCAGCUGGUUAGAAAUCGAUUCGAAUCGCCAUCGCUCCUGGAUAGUGAGCACUUGACAUGAGCCCUGUCCUCGUAGUAAGGACUAUGGAAUACUUGGGUUAUAAUGAAACGGGUUUAUGACUGCUGUGAUGAGGUACUAUCAUAGUCUCAUACUUGCUUGUAAUAGUACAGGAGCAAACCUAGGUAAUAGAUAAUGAUACUUUCAACUUGAGCAGAUUUAAAGAAGAAAAGAUUUAUGUAGGUUGGGUAAUAAAACCUUGCGGUCUUUGCAAAAUGGUUGUCAGCUACCCCACUAAAUAGCCUUCAUGAUCCUUGUAUGAGUCUUUAUUUUAAGUCUAUGACGGGUAAGUCUAGCUGAGUACCUUCUUGUACUCAGGGUUCUAUUCCCAUGUUGUUUUGCAGAUGGUCAAAUGUACUAUGGUUAUUGCAUCCUCUGUCUGUACCCAGCUAUGGGUGAUGACUAGACCAAGGGCGAUGGUCACUCCGUCUCUUCUUUUGCUUUUGUGGGAAUGACCGAACUAUGGCACUGUAUCAGACUUAUUGUGUGUGUUGUAAUUUCAAACUAUGAAGCUUCCGCUACUUGAAGAACUUGGUUUGUAAUAACUUUAAGCACUCCGAUGUAUUUUAUGAAUGUUGUAAUCUGGAUGUGCUUGUGGAUGGCGACCGCUAAACUUAUUACGAUCUUGGCUGUAUAUGUGAUGUGUGGUUUGAAAUCCUUCGAGAUUUCACGGACUACCGGGAUUAUAUGGGCUUAAGCGUGAUAGUUCGACUAUGCAAAUGGUCACUAUUAGACUUAAUCUCUUAUAAUUUGGUCGGUUCUAUUACAGCUGGCAUCGGAGCAAGGUUUAGCGAGUUACUGUUCAUAAGUACGUUCUAAACAAAAGUCUAAACCGGUUUAAUGAAAGAUUUUAGUAAUUAAUGAAGAUCAAGGUGUUAAACUAAGUUUUGGAAAAAAAUUAUCUAGUGUGCCAUGGUCAUAUCCUUUAUGCCCAGUUAAGGACUCUAAGGUGGCUAGCUAAGUACUGACUUGGGGGUUAAUGCAUCAUAUUUUUAUUUCGUCGCUCAUACGGCGUGCAAUAGUAUGAGUGCCAUUCAUUUGAGUGGUAAUGUAUGGAUCAAUUCUUCCUCUACGCCAUGGUAAGUGGGAGUUGUGAGAGCAUGAUCGGAUACACUGCCGGUCUAGGGAAGUGUUGUCAGGUGCUGUGUCAUGCACACAUGUUGGUGUGUCUUGGGAACAGUACCGCAUGCUGGGAAUUCCGUCCUGAGAGGCGAUGCCGUCAUUAGGGCGAUGAUGUGGGUAGUGACACGUCACAUGCAUGGACGGGUGUCUAUGUAUGUGAAGUGUAUAGUUUUAAAUUUUGUUAUGCACGACCAUACUGUGGGUGGGCUGAAAUGAGUUUUCUGCAGGUACACUAACCACGUUCUCGCUUAGAACGCUAGUUACAUUAUGAGAGAACGUUGUGUGCCACCGCGUAUACCGCUUAGUGUUACUUUGUUUUCUAAGUUUGUGAGAUCGUAAGUUCGUGCAUGCAUCAUGUUCAUGUCAUAUCAUUGCUUACUUUCCCCCUUAUUUUAAUCUGUCCCAAUUCUAAAUAAAAUAAUUAAAGGUAAUCCUCGCUCUUACCCACGGUAUUCCAUUUGCAGCAGAUGGCACGCACUAGGCUCACAGCUCGCAAGUCCACUGGUGGGCGGGCCCCUCGCCAUCCGUUGGCAGCUAGGAGCUCGCGACAUAAGAGCAAGUUCCUAGAGGAGUUUGGGAUGCCCACUUUGCUUUGGAGGGUGCUCGGUUCGAUGGGGUAUCCCGAAGGAAGGGAGCCUCGCUACUAUUGGGAUAAGGAGCCGCUUGGUGAUGAGACCCUGGUGGGGAUCGAGGCAGUUGUCCCUACCAGUGGAGGAGACCCUGCUUGGGGCGGUUGGGUGUACGAGUCCCGAGGUGUCACGCCUUUCCACGGUGCCAGCAGGGCAGCUUUCGCAGUUCUGAGGGACCUCAUGGAGAGGUUUCCACAGGAGCUGGCCCACGCCUUCACUGGGGUGUUUCCCCGGGGUGACCCUUACACUUCGGUGUGGGAUCAGUCCGAGGUGAAUGCUCUAGAGAGGAGUGCGGAUGAGGACCAGCACAGUGACAGUGCAGCUAUGAGUGCCAUGUACGCGUUGAUGAAGACCUAUGGAGGCCUGGAGCGUUGUUUGGGUCGCUUGUCCGGGUCUCUUCUCACCGUCCAGGAUGAGAAGCGUCAGUUGCAGCGUGAGUUUGACUCUGAGGUUGAGAGGCUACAGGCAGAGUUGGCUCGUGUGACCAGAGAGAGAGACCAGGCAGUCCAGAAGAACAGUGAGCUGAGUCAGGACUUGCUUGCAGUACGGGAGCAGAAGGACAGGGUGACUACUGCUCACAGGAACUGCGAGCGCAUGCUAGUCCAUGUGCUUGGACAGAGGAAUGAAGCCUGGCACGAGGAGGACACUUUGAGGGCCCGACAGCUAGAGCUAGAGCAGCAGCUAGCUAAUGCCGAGGAGUACAAUGAGAACUUGCAUGAGGAGAUCCACCAGCUGCAUAACCAGCUCCACCCUCACCACCUGCCUGGAGCAGCGGAGCUAGACUCUGAGGACGAGAUGGACGCGGAUCCCGAGAUAGGAGCAGCUACUAGUGGUGACGAGGAUGAGGAUGGCUCUGGCAUGGACAGUGACCACAGCGAGUAGAUGCUAGGGCUCUAGAGCUAGUCUUCCCUCUUUUGGGAUGUAUGUUGCGUGGCAUGUCAUGUACUUUUGGAUCUGGGCUGUGUAAGAAUUUAUGAGUUGAUGCUGAAAGUCCAGUGUAUGUAUGCUGGCAAGUUGGAUGUACGCGAACCUUGUUGCAUGAAUGUUAAGUAAUCUGUUAGUGAUGUUGUGCGUGGAUAAUGAGUUGUUGUGCCUUUGUUUAUUGUGUGAAUUUAUUCCUUCAGUAAAUUCAGUAUGGCACGAUUUUACACAUUUUCUACCGAUUGAUGGCAACUCCUAAUGAUUGCUUAUCAUUGGCAUAUGCAGAUGGUACAAACACGUGGCGGGGGUAGCAGCAAUCCGGGCCUUGGAACAGGUACAUCCGGAAGUGGGGCUCAACGGAUUGAGGACAGAGCACCAACACCGCCACGCAGAUGGUACAAACACGUGGCGGGGGUAGCAGCAAUCCGGGCCUUGGAACAGGUACAUCCGGAAGUGGGGCUCAACGGAUUGAGGACAGAGCACCAACACCGCCACCACCACCACCGCCUCCCCCGUACACUGCGGAUGUGUUUUUCGCGCAGUUUCUGGGAAGCCAACGCAACAUGGAACAGAUGCAGCGCAACAUGGAAGAAGCUUUGCGCAACAUAGCUGACAACACCCGUCGUGGAGAUAAUCAGGGUGGUCGGGAGGUCAACCAGUACAGUUCGUUCAAGGACUUCAUGGAUACCAAGCCACCAAUCUUUAAGGAGGCCUUGGAACCGCUCGAAGCAGAUGAGUGGAUCAACACUAUGGAGCAGAAAUUUCGUCUUCUCCGAAUGACAGAAGAACUCAAGGCUGAGUAUGCGGCACAUCAGUUGCAAGGACCCGCUGGGAUUUGGUGGUCCCAUCACCGUACCGCCUACCCAGAGGGGACACCAAUCACCUGGAACCGCUUCACCACCGCUUUCCGGGGAAAUUAUAUUCCUCCUGGUGUGGUUGAAAUGAAGGUUGGGGAGUUCAUGAGGCUGUCCCAAGGGACGAAAUCUGUGAAAGAAUAUCUACAUGCCUUCAACAAUCUCGCUCGCUAUGCCCCUGAGUUUGUGAACACGGAGGCCAAGAAGAUUGCUAGUUUCUAGAGGGGCUUGAAUCCAAAGAUGCUGAAGACCAUGGGUACAGGGGCCAGGGCUAGUUUCUAGUAAGGACUAUGGAAUACUUGGGUUAUAAUGAAACGGGUUUAUGACUGCUGUGAUGAGGUACUAUCAUAGUCUCAUACUUGCUUGUAAUAGUACAGGAGCAAACCUAGGUAAUAGAUAAUGAUACUUUCAACUUGAGCAGAUUUAAAGAAGAAAAGAUUUAUGUAGGUUGGGUAAUAAAACCUUGCGGUCUUUGCAAAAUGGUUGUCAGCUACCCCACUAAAUAGCCUUCAUGAUCCUUGUAUGAGUCUUUAUUUUAAGUCUAUGACGGGUAAGUCUAGCUGAGUACCUUCUUGUACUCAGGGUUCUAUUCCCAUGUUGUUUUGCAGAUGGUCAAAUGUACUAUGGUUAUUGCAUCCUCUGUCUGUACCCAGCUAUGGGUGAUGACUAGACCAAGGGCGAUGGUCACUCCGUCUCUUCUUUUGCUUUUGUGGGAAUGACCGAACUAUGGCACUGUAUCAGACUUAUUGUGUGUGUUGUAAUUUCAAACUAUGAAGCUUCCGCUACUUGAAGAACUUGGUUUGUAAUAACUUUAAGCACUCCGAUGUAUUUUAUGAAUGUUGUAAUCUGGAUGUGCUUGUGGAUGGCGACCGCUAAACUUAUUACGAUCUUGGCUGUAUAUGUGAUGUGUGGUUUGAAAUCCUUCGAGAUUUCACGGACUACCGGGAUUGUAUGGGCUUAAGCGUGAUAGUUCGACUAUGCAAAUGGUCACUAUUAGGCUUAAUCUCUUAUAAUUUGGUUGGUUCUGUUACAUUUUCCUUGUGCCAUCUUGCAUAAUUUUCCCAUUCCUUUGACAUAAAAAACCUUUGGUGGCGUGGAAUUAUUGGAAAGUAACGGAGGACCUUGUGAGGAACUUUUUUUUUGCCCUCCAUGUUUACCUUCCAUCUUGUGAAUCCACAAACUGGGCAACGAUCAUCACCUGCAUGGUCCUUCCAAAACAAGGCGCAAUCAUACUUGCACACAUCAAUAGAAACAUAACCGAAACCAAGCUUCCGAAUCACUGCUUUCAUUUCAUUGUAUGAUUUAGGAAGCCCGGGCACAUUCUUCAAAGAUGACGAAAGCAACUCAAGGAAUGCAUCGAACCCAGAUGUUGUUACCUGAUUGUACACUUUUAUAUGCAGCAACUUAAUAAUGAAAGUUAGCCUAGACUCCUCGGCACAACCUGGAUAUAGUUCACACUUUGCCUCUUCCAUGAUUUGUUUGUAUAAGUUACCGCCAAAGCCAUGGCUUGCUGCGGCGUGCAAAUCUUGAAUCAACCCCUGAACUCCAUGGUACCAUCUACUUGUGGUGGUCCACAAUCAUCCAGUCCUAAGUCAUCAUGUGGUGCCUGGUCACUUUCAUCCCAUGACACAACUUCAGGGACAACAUGUGCUGGUCCACAAUCAUCCAGUCCUAAGUCAUCAGCUUCCUCUCCAUGGUGAAUCCACCUAGUAUAGCACCUGGAGAUACCGUUGAGUUCGAUAUCCUCUUGUACGUCCACUUGGCUUUUUUCUAUUUGGUUCAGGCAUUUCCGGCAUGGGCACUUGAUUUUCUCAUCUACAUUGUAUCUUCCUCUGAUAUGUUCCAUGAAUUGUUGAAGACCCACUAAAAAGAUAGGUGAAAAUGGGGCACUAUUAUAAACCCAGCUUCUAUCCAUCUUGUCCUGCAAGAAUUUACCACCCUAUUAUUUAUACAAGCAAAUUAACAGGCAGUUGGUAGUCCCAAUUUAGAUAACAUGAAUUUCUAAAACAAUCAUCUCACCUUCAACACUUGCUGGAGGCACUUGCUGUAGCUUCCUCUUUAUGUACCGGCCAUGUACUAACUAUGGUGGCCGGAGAUGCAGCAGCUUCGGCCGACGGCGAGGAUGUAGCAGCUAUACUCCAUCUGCAGGGAGGCCGACGGCGAGGCUGUACCACCUCGCGUACGAAGCCUAUGCACCGCCGCCGGUGUCUAAGCUCGAUCUGCAGGGAGUUCCUCACAUAUGCUCGAUCUGGAGUUCCUCACAUCUGCAGGGAGUUCCCGCUGUAGAUUGGGCGAGGCCAAUGACUGGCCCACUCUGUCGCCGGCGAGGGGACCAGCUAGGGACGUCGGUGAGGGUGUGGUGGUCUGGUUGGCGAGAUGGGCUGUGGUAGAGGUUGUAGCAGGUUGCUUGCGGACUGGGUCGGCGGGCCGGCAGGUGCGGUUGCCGGUGACUGCUCGCUCACCGGCGAGGGAAGGCUGGUGUCGAGAGAGAGGUGGUGCCGGAGAGAGAGGGCAGGUGAGGUGUGCUAUGUUUUGUUCUAAAAAAAAGCAAAGGCCGAGAGCAAAGGAUAAUCUCACCUCUCUAACGAUGACAUGUGGGUCCAUUGUCUCAAUGACAAGUGGGCCCUGGAUUGUAUUGACCCUCUCUCUCACUGAGUUCGUCAUGCAGUCACCAUUUCACUUUUUAAUCUUUGCCAAAACGGGUUCGGCCAGAAACGUUAUGAAUACCAAAGUUUCACAACUCAUCAAUACCUAACUUUCUUGUAUGUACCAUUUUUCCAUCCGACAAUUUGAUUAGAACUUUGUUCUCAAAUUCUAUACAUCUCUCUUAUAGUUUCAAAUGUAACCAUGAAGAGAUGAGUCAAAUUUGAGAACAAAGUUUUAAUCACAUUGUCGGAUGGAAAAAUGGUACAUACAAGAAAGUUAGGUAUUGAUGAGUUGUGAAACUUUAGUAUUUUUGGUCGUGUCGAUUGGAAUUGUUGAUUACCUCAAAUUGGACAUUCAAGUUUUCGAAUUUUGAAAUUCAAACUUUCAACUAACUAACCAAAGUCAUAUGAAAAAAAUUUACAUAUACAAAACCUCUGUCUAGAUGUGCUGAACAACUUUGUUUCUU
rnacentral:lncRNA from 1 species